rnacentral:lncRNA from 1 species
CUGUUAGAUAGGCAUUUGAAAGCUUAUUUGUUAUAAACCAAUAUGCUAGUAAGUAUUCCAGAGUGGCAGAGAAGAAGACCCAAACAACUGACGCCUUUGUUGAAUAUAAGUCUAAGAUGCUACAUGUCUUAAUGAUUUUCUUUUUCCACAGAAAAUUAUCAUCUUGCCUCUUGGCUUUCAGCAGGUCUUGCUCCCUCUUCUGCCCUGGAUAUUUACACCACUGCCCAGCUGGAAGAAUAUCCCACUUCUCAUUGCAAUGUACAUAUACAAAUCAUUGUCCCGAACACCAAUUCAAGUGUACUUGGCCACUCUUUAAGGAACAGAUUGCCUGGGACUGUAAGAAGUCCACAUGGCAGCUUUCCAAUUGUAUUUAUCCACUUCAACUAAUUGAGUCACAUAAAUGUAAGUAAUUUGAAACAUUAUUGUGAGAGAUUUCUGUUUGCCUCUUUAAUUAAGCAGUUGUUCACAGGUGCAUACAGUUACAACAAAAUUAAUUGAUAGCUUUAUAUUGCAGUUCUUGAGUCUGCUGCUGUUUGGUGUUUGGAAACUGUG